CUGGGGUUGAAGGGGCCCUUGGGUGGUGGGACUGGGGCUGGCAGGUGGGGGCUGGGACUUGAGGAGGGGCUGGGAUAGGGGGCUUUUCCUUGGCGCUUCCUUCACCCCCGGGGAGUGGGCAGGAUGCAGCCCUGGGGUCAUGGCCUGUCCUGGGCUGCCCGUGGGGCAGAGAUGCCAGCUGCGGGCGUGGCCAUCACGCUGCCUCGCUGCACAAACAGAGAGCCUCGGUGGCUCCAGACAGAGCUCCCACUACAGGCAGGACACCGCGUGCGUCCCCAGCUUGGCUGCUCUACGUUAAGUCUCUCUUGUCUGAGUUACAGAAACGGCACGGAGGGAGGGGUGCUGUGCUGUGCCUCGAGGUCCCUUCCCAGGUGGGAACUUUUCUGGGAUCGAUACGUUCACUGAUGCUUUCCUGUGACUGCCACCUCGCCCUUAAGUUGUCAAUGAAAAUAAUCAAUCGACAAUCAAUAAUGAGAACAGAAGAGGAUUCUAUUUGCGCCAAACCGAGGACUCGCCUAGGAACCCACGUCCCAGAUUGCUCUGAGAAACUGCACAGUUUUAUAUCUUGUCAGAAGAAAGAACAUUCAAUAAGUCAAGGUGACAUUUUCAAGGUUAAGGAAACGGGGAAGGAGACCCGAUCAGCACACAUGGAGCCAGUCAGCAUGGCCUUGGCACCUGCGAAGCGAGUCUUAUCAUGGAAGGAAUGCAAGCACUGGUGUCCUAGGAGAGGUGGGGUUUAGUCUUCAUUUUUUAUUUAUUUUUUGUUUUUUUAGGGCCGCAUCCACGGCAUAUGGAGGCUCCCAAGC
rnacentral:lncRNA from 9 species